CCACACGACUCUCGGCAACGGAUAUCUCGGCUCUCGCAUCGAUGAAGAACGUAGCAAAAUGCGAUACCUGGUGUGAAUUGCAGAAUCCCGCGAACCAUCGAGUUUUUGAACGCAAGUUGCGCCCGAGGCCUUCUGGUUGAGGGCACGCCUGCCUGGGCGUCACGC
rnacentral:rRNA from 3 species